UGAAAAUUCAGGUUGGCAUCACAGGAGUAUAUUACAUUUUAAAAUAGAAAACAGUUAUUUUAAAUUGUAAUUAUAUAUUACGAGAUUACUUUGUAUUUUUAUUCAAAUAAAUACAAUUAACUAUUAACAGCAAUUCAUGAAUACACACUGUAAAAAGUGCUACACCCACACAGUAGGUUUUAUAUAUUUUAAAUAGUUGUAAUCUAGUUUAUUUUAUUUGUUUUAUACUAAAAAGUAUAAAUAUACUUCCUCUUUACUUAAAAUAUAUCACUUUUUACAUAACAAUAUAUUUUAAGUAAAACAAUAGCAAUUUAUUUGGGUAGCUUUUUGUAUGAGUUUGUUGUGUACAAGAAAUGUUAUAAAAGUGAGUUGAAAUACACAAUUUAUUUGAGCAGCUGUCGAUGUGGCAUGUGUGUUCAUCAAACUUAAAUAUUUGAAAUAAAAAACACAUAAAAAUUAAGUUGGAUUUAUCCCUUUUUCACUGGCGGGGACUUUCCAAGGCAGAUGCUUCCUCGGCACUUCAACUGUUUGAAAGCUGCAGCGGAUCUAAAUUUCACAGACUGAUUAACACGUCUCCGGUGGGGCAUGCAGCUGUCGUGGGGUCCUCGUGUUAUCAGCAGCAGAGUUGUAACCAAGCGUUUUUGUUAACUGGGGUCUUCAGAUACAGGAUCCGUCUGGCUAUGUGGAGAAAAGGAGAGAAGUGGUACUGAGAUGCCUGAUUGAGUACAUAUGGGAGGGAAAGGAAGACCUCAUCAGUGUCCACCAUAGUCAUGAUGAAACAGAGGUGCAUGCUGAGCUUGGCAGUUCCCCACUGAAAAUAUACAUGCGCCAUCAGCCAAACGAUUGGGAUUAUCACAGUUGAAGGACAGCCCAUGGUCAGAGGUGUGCCAAACCUGUAGAAAACCUCCUGUUUGGACUUGUCUAUGCCCACAACCUCUAAUAUCACUCAAAUCUGGUGUAUACUUCUGAGAUAUAUCACAGGCUCUUUGUGGGAUUGGACCCUAUGCAUACUUUUGUAUGUUUUGUAGGCACUGUUAAAAGUGACACUAGUUGAUAUUGAAUAAAUGUUAUUGUCUUUAAUCUGUCUUCCCAUCUUUUUCUUCUUCAAUUGAAUUUGUAAUUGUUAUUGAUAAAGUCUGUUUAUGUAAAGUGAUUUACUGUACUGCUUAGAAUAUAGACAUUUAGAUGUAUUUUCUGAGGUAAUAGCCAGGACUUAAUUAAAAUGUUUAUUCACAUUUGAUUAGGUUAAAUUUACUAUGAGCAUAAAGUUCAUAAAACCUAACUAAAAUGAGUACAGGUUACUUGUAGCAACCCAUAAAUACGUUACAUAUACCAAGAAAAUUAGGUUUAUCUAACUGACUAAUAUAGCACUUAUUAGUUAACUCAACUUGAUUUUUUUGUGUUUGAAUUAAGUAAUUUUACAGAGUUUAUUAUACUUGAAAAAGGCUGCAAGUUGACUCAACUUAAAACAUCCAAUGCAGCCACUUGCCUCACUUUUUAUAAGUUUGAUCUAGGUAUUACUUUUUACAGUGCAUUUCUAAUAAAUUUAAUAGCAUGCCAAGCAUUUUGUAUGUGUCCUUUCUUUAAUGUUGUCCUUGCAUAGUAUCUACCAUGGUUUGCUGUGCUGCAUGGGGAUGCUCCACUCAGUCAGAGAAAGGUGUGCGAAUGUAUGGCUUCCCAGCUGACAUAGAGAGGAGAAAAUAAUGGUUGGCUCAAGUCAGCAGGAGCAAUCUAAAUAUAAAUAAAAAUUACAACAACAAAAAAAUGUUAGGUAAUUAUACUUAAAUUUAUUUGC